UUUCAUAUAUUUUUUCAUCUAUUAUAAAUUCUUCUUUGUUCAUUUUAUUGUGAAUAGUUCAUGUUGAUAUAUAUAUUCUAAGCUAUCUAUUUGUGAUUCUAAUUUUGAUAUUUCAUCCUUUUGUGUAUUUAUUGAAUUUUUACUAACUCCGGCAAAUAUAUUAUAAUUUAGUCUUUCUAUUCUUAUUUUUAAUUCUUUACGUUUUUCAGAGAUAAUUUGUUU
rnacentral:lncRNA from 1 species